GCCCUUCGGGGCAUACUGGUCAAUUGAAAAUAUACAGAGAAGAUUAGUACGGCCCCUGCACUAAGGAUGACGUAUCAAAUCAAAGAGAAGCUACCUAUUUUU
rnacentral:snRNA from 1 species